UACGUAGGGUGCAAGCGUUAAUCGGAAUUACUGGGUGUAAAGCGUGCGCAGGCGGCUUUGCAAGACAGAUGUGAAAUCCCCGGGCUUAACCUGGGAACUGCAUUUGUGACUGCAUGGCUGGAGUGCGGCAGAGGGGGAUGGAAUUCCGCGUGUAGCAGUGAAAUGCGUAGAUAUGCGGAGGAACACCGAUGGCGAAGGCAAUCCCCUGGGCCGGUACUGACGCUGAGGAGCGAAAGCGUGGGGAGCAAACAGG
rnacentral:rRNA from 1 species